AACAAUUACAAGCAUGAUCCAAUAAAAAAGUUUAGGGUCGGGAUUUCGACGUCCGAAAGCUAGAUAGGGUCGGGAAACCGGAAACCCACAUAUUUUUUUUUGGCCAGGUUAUAAAUGAAAACGUAGCUAUUGUAUGGUUACUCUAGCGCAAAUACAAUACACACCUGACGAUGAACCGACCAUUUCUUGCAUAGACCAAGACUAUGUGUUGUGAAAGAAAGAGUAUGUCGAAAAAGGCCAUGUAUUUUGGAGAGCAGAACUUGUUUAGGCUGGCUUGGAAAAUCUACGGGGUUUUACUGUAUAUAUCACUAAACUUUAUUCGCCUCUUGGAAGUACUUAUCUUUAAACAACCCUUCAGAAACAAUAGUCAGUGAAUUCACAUAAAACACCCCAUACGACUAGUCGAAUGUUUUAACUGUUGGCGUGAUUAUGAGCAGUGAAAGAGAUAUCAAUAACGUGGCAGUUUAAACCGGCUACGACGUACUAGGAAAU